rnacentral:misc_RNA from 1 species
AACCCUACUGGGAUGUUCUAUCCGUUCAAGGUUUGACAAAGGCUUAUAAGCCUAAAUUGAGAAAGCAAGCCUGCAAAGCACAAGCGAAAAAAGGAAAAAGUAGAGAGCCUCCUCAUUCGACUCAGAACUCGCUGAAAAAAUUGUCCUGCAAGCGUCAAGACUAGAGGAAUGUUUUAUUGGUGGUGAUGUCUGCUUUCUUGCCAGAAACUGAUAGUGAAGAUGAAUUGCCACCAGGGUGGGAAGAACGUGCCACUUUAGAUGGUAAAGUUUAUUAUGCCAAUCAUGUUUCUAAAAGUACUCAAUGGUCUCAUCCCAGAACUGGAAAAAAGAAAAAAGUGUCUGGAGAGCUGCCUCACGGAUGGGAAAGAAAAAUAAGUGACGAUGGAAAUGUAUUUUACGUUGACCAUCUAAAUCACAAAACAACUUACACAGAUCCUAGAUUGGCAUUUGCUGUUGAAGAAAAUGAAUCUCCAACCGAUAUCAGACAGAGAUUUGAUGCAAGUACCUCUGCUUUACAAAUAUUGCAUGGGAGAGAUUUGGGUGGCAAAGUUGCUAUAGUAACAGGAGCUAAUUGUGGUAUAGGUUUUGAAACUGCUAGAUCCUUAGCUUAUCAUGGUUGUGAGGUUUACUUUGCUUGUAGAAGUAAGGAUAAAGCUAAAGCUGCCAUUGAACAAAUAUGCAAAGAAAGGCCAAAUUCCAACUUACAUUUUUUACCACUUGAUUUAUCAAGUUUACAAAGUGUUUCAGAAUUUUGCAAAAAGUUUGAAGUGGAGAAAAAGCUCAUUCACAUGUUAAUAUUGAAUGCUGGGGUUUUUGGCCUUCCUCAUUCCCUCACAGAGGAUGGCUUUGAAGAAACAUUUCAAGUAAACCAUUUGGGACACUUCUAUCUUGUGAAGCUGUUGACACCCAUCCUCAUUCAAUCUUCACCCUGCAGGAUUGUUCUUUUGUCAUCUGAAAGUCAUAGGUUCUCUUUUUUAACGAAGGAGAAUAUUUCGGAGGCAUAUCUUUCUCCCAAAACACCAGACAAGUUCUAUUCUAUCAUGGCAUAUAAUGAUUCAAAGCUGUGUAACAUAUUAUUCUCCAAUGAAUUGAAUCGACGCUUGUCCUCAAAAGGAGUCUUCUCGAACGCCGUUCACCCAGGAAAUGUGGUCAGCAGUUAUUUAUCCCGAAACUGGUGGUUUUACAGAAUUCUCUUUGCUCUUAUUCGACCUUUUACUAAGUCUUUGCAACAGGCUGCUGCUACUUCUAUAUAUUGUGCAACAGCCCAUGAACUAGGUGGAGUAGGAGGGAUGUACUUUAAUAACUGUUACCAGUGCAAACCAAGCCAAACCAGUGCUUCAGAAGACUUGUCUAAAAUGCUGUGGGAACUGAGUGAAACCAUGAUUAACAGGUCAUAAAUAAAUGGGAUUUUACUCAAGGGCAUCUGAGCACCUGGAAAGUUAUUGAAAAUAAUGGAAAGUCAUGGUUUUCAGUGGUUAAAUGCUAAAAAGUCAUGAAAAAUCCCAGUUCAUCAUGGAUUUUGGGAAGAAGAAAAAGAUUCCAAGAAGAUUCAACAUUUUUUACUGAACUACUGUCAUUUAUCAAAAAUCACAAAAAACUAAUUGUAAAUAUUCAACAUGUUAUUUUCAUCUGAAUGAAAGACUGUAUAGGCUAUUUAUUUUAUAACAGAAAUCUUUUGAAACAAUUUGAUUAAAAGAGUUUGCUUUUUUACAUCA